UACGUAGGGGGCAAGCGUUGUCCGGAUUUAUUGGGCGUAAAGAGCGUGUAGGCGGCCAUUCAGGUCAGCUGUGAAAACUCGAGGCUCAACCUCGAGACGUCGGUUGAAACCGUUUGGCUAGAGUCCGGAAGAGGAGAGUGGAAUUCCCGGUGUGGCGGUGAAAUGCGCAGAUAUCGGGAAGAACACCCGUGGCGAAGGCGGCUCUCUGGGACGGUACUGACGCUGAGACGCGAAAGCGUGGGGAGCGAACAGG
rnacentral:rRNA from 1 species